rnacentral:rRNA from 1 species
GUAGGUGGCAAGCGUUGUCCGGAAUUAUUGGGGCGUAAAGCGCGCGCAGGCGGGUUCUUUAAGUCUGAUGUGAAAGCCCACGGGCUCAACCGUGGAGGGUCAUUGGAAACUGGAGAACUUGAGUACAGAAGAGGAAAGCGGAAUUCCACGUGUAGCGGUGAAAUGCGUAGAGAUGUGGGGGAACACCAGUGGCGAAGGCGGCUUUCUGGUCUGUAACUGACGCUGAGGCGCGAAAGCGUGGGGAGCAAACAGGAUUAGAUACCCUGGUAGUCCACGCCGUAAACGAUGAGUGCUAAGUGUUAGGGGGUUUCCGCCCCUUAGUGCUGCAGCUAACGCAUUAAGCACUCCGCCUGGGGAGUACGGCCGCAAGGCUG